GGGAAGGCCUAACCCCCACAGAAGCUCAGGGUUCGCGGCCGCCCAGCACAGCCCGCAGAGACCAGAGGGCCCGGGCCUGGAGGAGCCCAGCGUGGACAGGCAGAUUAUUAAGACACCUCAAGCAUACAGAGCCCACCUGGAGAAGUGCCAUCAAGUCCUGAGAGGUGAAAUGGGCCCAAGCCCUUGCCCGCGGACAGCUCUCCAAGCAUGUCCUCCCUGGACCUUUCUAACCAGUGAAUUGUUCACCACCCAGUGACUCUUUCCAACUGAGGCCAAGAGAUUUCUGGAGCCUCUUGUCAUGGUCAGCAACAUCACAAAAGUGACCAGGAAGUGAGGGUUUCUGUUGUAAGUUGCUCAGACAAAGACAAAGCAGAUGAGCCCGGCUCUGGGGAAGAAUCACAAGAGUAUGUCCACCAUGGCUGUGCCCAGAGUGCCAAGGGUUGGCGUGACUGGGGCCAGCUGGAAUUCUAGAGUUUGUAUUUGGUGCAAGUCACGCCAAAACUGCCCAGGUGAAGAGCUCCCCCCAGAAGAGAGCAGGUGUACCAGUGGGCCAAAUGGCACGCUCCUGCUACCUUGCAAAUGACCACACCCUGUCAGGGCAAGUGAGAGUCACAGACUGGAACCAAAGGAAGUCAGUCAUUUCCUAGGAGGAUAAGGAAGUCAACACCGUCAAGAAGGUCACUUUAUGAAGCUGGCAAGUUUCCCUGAUGGCGAUCAGUGGCAAUGGUGGAGUGCAGAGGUGGAGUUAGCACCCUCUCGGCUACAGAUUUUCCUUAGCAGAGCUGUGGAGUGUGACAAUGGUGUUUGUGUCCAAACUAUCAAACGCCAUUAUCACACUAAAUAGCUACUGUUAGGCAAUCCUUCCGCUCAAUAAAUGCCUUGGCAUCCGCGUGGUAUGGGCAGGGAGGUUCCUCUUACAACAGUGUUCUCGGUCCUGUUGUUAUUACUGAAUAAAUCCAGGCCCGUUGGUGCUUGUAAGCAGCAUGUCAUCCGAACUUUGCCUCUCGGAUGUUCUCUGUUGUUAAACACGUUAGCUGGUGAUGAAUUUUUUUGUUUUCCUGAGUCAAUAAAAAAUAUGGCCGUGUCCCCCAGAGCACCCAGCACAAGGCCAGGCACGUGGGAACUGUUCAACCCAGGCUUGGUGAGUUGAAAUGAAUAGUUAGGGAAGUGUUAGAUCCGGAAAAUAAAAAGCGGGUUGAACCUCGGUUGUCCAACCACAGACUUAUAGGAACAAAAUUAAAGUAUGCGGGGCCUCACUUUCCACUGGAAGAAAACAACUGUCUGAUAAACCUACACCUGGCUUAACUGAC